AACCUAUAGGGGUUAAUGUGGUCAACAAGUUUGUCACAUGGUCUAGUUUUGAGGAUAGUGAGAUUGAGUCUCUUCUCAACGAGGAUUUCAAAGUCAACAACGAGAAGAAUAGAGAAUAUCACGAGUCUUUGAGAGAGUUGACCUCGGAGGAGAUGUUAGGAGAAUUGAACGACAUUUGUUCAAAAUGGGAAACUCCACCCGAGAUGGUUAGUGUUGACCCUAGGCCCGAUUUUGAGAGUCAUGUAGGUGAACCACCGACAUUUGACUCAUUGUUCCAUUAUUCACAUAGCGCCUUAGGAAGAGAUGACACCGUUUCUUACAUCGUUCCUAGUGAUUUAUCCUAUGAUCGUGUUGACCCUAGGCCCGAUUUAGAGAGUCAUGUAGGUGAAUUACCGACAUUUGACUCGUUGUUCCAUCAUUCGCAUAGCGCCUUAGG
rnacentral:lncRNA from 1 species